rnacentral:rRNA from 1 species
GAUGAACGCUGGCGGCGUGCCUAAUACAUGCAAGUAGAACGCUGAAGGAAGGAGCUUGCUCUUUCCGGAUGAGUUGCGAACGGGUGAGUAACGCGUAGGUAACCUGCCUGGUAGCGGGGGAUAACUAUUGGAAACGAUAGCUAAUACCGCAUAACAGUAGAUGUUGCAUGAUAUCUACUUAAAAGGUGCAAUUGCACCACUACCAGAUGGACCUGCGUUGUAUUAGCUAGUUGGUGAGGUAACGGCUCACCAAGGCGACGAUACAUAGCCGACCCGAGAGGGUGAUCGGCCACACUGGGACUGAGACACGGCCCAGACUCCUACGGGAGGCAGCAGUAGGGAAUCUUCGGCAAUGGACGGAAGUCUGACCGAGCAACGCCGCGUGAGUGAAGAAGGUUUUCGGAUCGUAAAGCUCUGUUGUAAGAGAAGAACGAGUGUGAGAGUGGAAAGUUCACACUGUGACGGUAUCUUACCAGAAAGGGACGGCUAACUACGUG